UACGGGGGGGGCAAGCGUUGUUCGGAAUUACUGGGCGUAAAGGGUCUGUAGGCGGCUCGCUAAGUCAGACGUGAAAUCCCUCAGCUUAACUGGGGAACUGCGUCUGAGACUGGCAAGCUUGAGUGCAGGAGAGGAACGCGGAAUUCCAGGUGUAGCGGUGAAAUGCGUAGAUAUCUGGAGGAACACCGGCGGUGUAGACGGCUUGCUAGACCACCCCUGACGCUGAGGCACGAAAGCGUGGGUAGCAAACAGG
rnacentral:rRNA from 1 species